rnacentral:rRNA from 1 species
UACGAAGGGGGCUAGCGUUGCUCGGAAUCACUGGGCGUAAAGCGCACGUAGGCGGAUCUUUAAGUCAGGGGUGAAAUCCCGGGGCUCAACCUCGGAACUGCCCUUGAUACUGGGGAUCUCGAGUCCGGAAGAGGUUGGUGGAACUCCGAGUGUAGAGGUGAAAUUCGUAGAUAUUCGGAAGAACACCAGUGGCGAAGGCGGCCAACUGGUCCGGCACUGACGCUGAGGUGCGAAAGCGUGGGGAGCAAACAGG